GUUUUGAUCCUGAAAGACUCUUGUUGAGCCGUGAGGAGGAUUCUGUUUACGAGAACCUUUGACCCUGUUAACAGCUCAGACUGAGACUCAGUCAACCAGUCAGACUUUGGACUUGACGUGAGGACACACCCUCUGUGAUAAAAGAUAAGAAGCUGAUAAGAAGUCACUUCACUCCGUCUGAUGGAAGCUGAAGUGAAGCACGGAGCUCCUUUUCUACACGGACCUGCUGAGGACAGAAGAGAGCUGCUCACUGAGGAAGUUCAUGUCUACGAGCUCAGAACCUGGCGGCUCGCAGCAGUCCAGCUGCAGUCAGAGGAGACACACGUCACGUGCAGGCUGAAAUCAACGCGCGCAUGCGCAAAGCCGCCGCCGAUUCUGCAGCGUCUCUCCUCCAGGUUGGUGUGAAGGUGUGAAGGUGUGGACUCUGCUAUGAAUCAGGCUGAGGACCCAGAGGACGGAGUCCCUCCCUCUGAAGCCCCUCUGUGUGGGGAACAUGACAGCCAGACCAAAGCUCAGAGGACCCAUCAGAGACCAGGACCUGGACCUGGACCCAGCUGUGUGUCCAUGAAGAGUAACCGGUCUAUGGAUCCUCCUCUAAACUUCAAAGAUGUUGGUCCCUCUGUUGAUGCAAGUUCACAUCAGCAGAGAGGAAAGUCUCCUGAACCCAGAUGUUUGUCCCAUGAAGAGUCAUCCGGUCUAAUAA
ensembl:lncRNA